CAGCAGCCGCGGUAAUACGAAGGGUGCAAGCGUUACUCGGAAUUACUGGGCGUAAAGCGUGCGUAGGCGGUGAGUUAAGUCUGCUGUGAAAUCCCCGGGCUCAACCUGGGAAUGGCAGUGGAUACUGGCUCGCUAGAGUGUGUCAGAGGAUGGUGGAAUUCCCGGUGUAGCGGUGAAAUGCGUAGAGAUCGGGAGGAACAUCAGUGGCGAAGGCGGCCAUCUGGGACAACACUGACGCUGAGGCACGAAAGCGUGGGGAGCAAACAGGAUUAGAUACCCCAGUAGUCCCUGUCUCUUAUAC
rnacentral:rRNA from 1 species